GACGAACGCUGGCGGCGUGCCUAAUACAUGCAAGUCGGACGGACCUUGCUUGGACGGAGUGGAGUACUUGUACAAAGCGAAGACUAAGCGCUGGUUAGUGGCGAACGGGUGAGUAACACGUAGGUAACCUACCGAUAAGACGAGGACAACUCAUGGAAACGUGAGCUAAUACUGGAUAUGGUAUAGGGAAGGCAUCUUUCUUAUAUUAAAGGAGCUUCUGGCUUCACUUAUUGAUGGACCUGCGGCGUAUUAGCUAGUUGGUGGGAUAGCAGCCUACCAAGGCGAUGAUACGUAGCCGAUCUGAGAGGAUAAACGGCCACACUGGGACUGAGAUACGGCCCAGACUCCUACGGGAGGCAGCAGUAGGGAAUUUUCCACAAUGGACGAAAGUCUGAUGGAGCAACGCCGCGUGUGUGAAGAAGGUUUUCGGAUUGUAAAGCACUGUUGUAUGGGAAGAAUAAGGUGAGAAGGAAAUGGCUCAUUGANGACG
rnacentral:rRNA from 1 species